rnacentral:rRNA from 1 species
UACAGAGGGGGCAAGCGUUAUUCGGAAUUAUUGGGCGUAAAGGGCGCGUAGGCGGCCUGGCAAGUGGAAGGUGAAAUCCCUCGGCUUAACCGAGGAACUGCCCUCCAAACUGCUUGGCUUGAGUCCGGGAGAGGGGCGUGGAAUUCCGGGUGUAGUGGUGAAAUGCGUAGAGAUCCGGAGGAACCCCAGAGGCGAAGGCGACGCCCUGGCUCGUACCUGACGCUCAGCCACGAAAGCAUGGGGAGCGAACGGG